UUUUUCCCUGCGUAGGGGAACUACGUCGCCUUGAUCCUCAUACCAGAUGAGGUACGUAGGCAGAAGAUGAGCUGAUCUCUCCGGGCGCCCUUUUUCUUUUUCAACCCUUUGUGUCUUAACCACCCUUGCGUGUGUUUUGGUUCGGAUGCUGAUGUAAGUCCAGUGAUUGGCAUUCGGGCUCCACGUUCGCCCUUUUGUUUUGUUUGUGUGAGUUGUUUCUCCU
rnacentral:lncRNA from 1 species